CCUACGGGCGGCUGCAGUGGGGAAUAUUGGACAAUGGGGGGAACCCUGAUCCAGCCAUGCCGCGUGUGUGAAGAAGGCCCUCGGGUUGUAAAGCACUUUCAGUGAGGAAGAACGCCUGGUGGUUAAUACCCAUCAGGAAAGACAUCACUCACAGAAGAAGCACCGGCUAACUCCGUGCCAGCAGCCGCGGUAAUACGGAGGGUGCGAGCGCUAAUCGGAAUUACUGGGCGUAAAGCGCGCGUAGGUGGCUUGAUAAGCCGGUUGUGAAAGCCCCGGGCUCAACCUGGGAACGGCAUCCGGAACUGUCAAGCUAGAGUGCAGGAGAGGAAGGUAGAAUUCCCGGUGUAGCGGUGAAAUGCGUAGAGAUCGGGAGGAAUACCAGUGGCGAAGGCGGCCUUCUGGACUGACACUGACACUGAGGUGCGAAAGCGUGGGUAGCAAACAGGAUUAGAUACCCUUGUAGUC
rnacentral:rRNA from 1 species